rnacentral:misc_RNA from 1 species
GUGGCUGGAAGCCCAGGAAGGACACCAUCCUCUCUUAAUAAGAUCAGUACUAAGGAAGCAUCUGAUCAGAAAUUUGAGAAACCAUGUGCAGCUGAAUUUGAUGGUCAUAUACUGGCAACCUAAGUGCAAGAAGAGUUUCUGGAGAUGCCCCUGAGCGAGAUUGACUUUUCAAAGAAUUCACCAUCUCAAAUGAGACCGAGUCC